rnacentral:rRNA from 1 species
GACGAACGCUGGCGGCGUGCUUAACACAUGCAAGUCGAACGGAAAGGCCCUGCUUUUGUGGGGUGCUCGAGUGGCGAACGGGUGAGUAACACGUGAGUAACCUGCCCUUGACUUUGGGAUAACUUCAGGAAACUGGGGCUAAUACCGGAUAGGAGCUCCUGCUGCAUGGUGGGGGUUGGAAAGUUUCGGCGGUUGGGGAUGGACUCGCGGCUUAUCAGUUUGUUGGUGGGGUAGUGGCUUACCAAGGCUUUGACGGGUAGCCGGCCUGAGAGGGUGACCGGCCACAUUGGGACUGAGAUACGGCCCAGACUCCUACGGGAGGCAGCAGUGGGGAAUAUUGCACAAUGGGCGGAAGCCUGAUGCAGCAACGCCGCGUGCGGGAUGACGGCCUUCGGGUUGUAAACCGCUUUCGCCUGUGGCGAAGCGUGAGUGACGGUAAUGGGUAAAGAAGCACCGGCUAACUACGUG